rnacentral:rRNA from 1 species
AUUGAACGCUGGCGGCAGGCCUAACACAUGCAAGUCGAGCGCGUCGCGCGCGUGUGUGUAAUGUCUGGGACACACCCUUAUGGAGGGGGAUAACUACUGGAACCGGUAGCAAAUCCCGCAAACCAUCAGAUUCUCCCAGAGGGUGUUAGCUUGUUGGUGGGGUAACGGCUCACCAAGGCGACGAUCCCUAGCUGGUCUGAGAGGAUGACCGGCCACACUGGAACUGAGACACGGUCCAGACUCCUACGGGAGGCAGCAGUGGGGAAUAUUGCACAAUGGGCGCAAGCCUGAUGCAGCCAUGCCGCGUGUAUGAAGAAGGCCUUCGGGUUGUAAAGUACUUUCAGCGGGGAGGCGUUACCUGAAGAAGAAGCACCGGCUAACUCCGUGCCAGCAGCCGCGGUAAUAC